GUUUUUAUUUGUAGUGAUAGCCCCCAAACGGAGGGUUAUGCUCAGGAGCUGGAGCCCUGCUGUACUGUCUCCGAAGUAUUUGCAUGCAUGGCCAUAUAUUCCGAAAGUACACAAUCUCUGCCUCAAGGAGCUGGUAAUUUAACCAGUUGUGUGUGUGUACGCGUGUGCGUUCACGUACCUGUGCUACCACAAAAAGGAUCUGGAAUUGCAGUUUGUGUUUUGAUGAGACAUGGGCAAAGAGUGAACGUGAGGAGAACAAAGGAGAAGGGAACAGUGCUGUGGUUCCUUGAGGUGUUAUUGCAGACAGCCUGCUGUCUGGCCUGUCACUGGGCGCGCUGUAGACUCAUGGGAAUUCCCCUGGAUGUGUUACGCAUCCCAGGCUGUUGUUGAAGGGGGUCAGUGGUGCAAUUUGAUUUUGCUACCCUGAAAAUCUUAUCCCACGCUUCUCCUGCUUGCUAAUCCACGAUUUGCUCCUUGUGGACUCAACUGCAUGACUUCCCAGAUCUGCAUUUACGUAUCAAUUAAACAAGGGUGAGAAUGGGGAAUGUGUACCUCACAAACAGAUUAUGAAAAUACAGUUGGAUGGACUACUUCGUAAUUUGUGCAAGGAACCUACUGGUUAACAGGGUGACCAAAGUGAUAAAACGUGUGCUUCAGGUGGCUUUGUUUGGCAAAGAAUUGAGAUAAUGUUUGUGUAUAAUUAUAGGCUUAAGUGCAACUGAUGCCAAUGAUUAAUUGAAUUGGGAUCAAAUUUACCUGGGGGGUAACAGUGGAUUUAAAGAAAAUAUAUUUAAGUAAUUACGUAAUUGUACAGAAAAUUAUUUCAUUUUUAGCAUACAAUUGCAAAUGCAUACUGUAGCUUUAUUAAAAUACGUUUCCCUGCAUGUACCGCCUGUUUUAAAAUACAAGAGAAACAUGGGUGAUAGGUGGUUCUCCUAAGCAAUUUCCACGAAGCAAAUAAAAAUUGCUUAGUGCAGUAUAUGAAGGUACUG
rnacentral:lncRNA from 1 species